rnacentral:rRNA from 1 species
AGUCGAGCGAAAUUUUCCUUCGGGGAUUUUUAGCGGCGGACGGGUGAGUAACACGUGGGUAACCUGCCUUAUAGAGGGGGAUAGCCUUCCGAAAGGAAGAUUAAUACCGCAUAAUAUUGUGCUUUCGCAUGGAAGCGUAAUUAAAGGAGUAAUCCGCUAUAAGAUGGACCCGCGGCGCAUUAGCUAGUUGGUGAGGUAACAGCUCACCAAGGCGACGAUGCGUAGCCGACCUGAGAGGGUGAUCGGCCACAUUGGAACUGAGAAACGGUCCAGACUCCUACGGGAGGCAGCAGUGGGGAAUAUUGCACAAUGGGCGAAAGCCUGAUGCAGCAACGCCGCGUGAGUGAUGAAGGUCUUCGGAUUGUAAAGCUCUGUCUUUGGGGACGAUAAUGACGGUACCCAAGGAGGAAGCCACGGCUAACUACGUGCCAGCAGCCGCGGUAAUACGUAGGUGGCGAGCGUUGUCCGGAAUUACUGGGCGUAAAGGAUGCGUAGGCGGAAACUUAAGUCAGAUGUGAAAUACCCGGGCUUAACUUGGGUGCUGCAUUUGAAACUGGGUUUCUAGAGUGCGGGAGAGGAAAGUGGAAUUCCUAGUGUAGCGGUGAAAUGCGUAGAGAUUAGGAAGAACACCAGUGGCGAAGGCGACUUUCUGGACCGUAACUGACGCUGAGGCAUGAAAGCGUGGGUAGCA